rnacentral:rRNA from 1 species
GACGGAGGAUGCAAGCGUUAUCCGGAAUGAUUGGGCGUAAAGCGUCCGCAGGUGGCAGUUCAAGUCUGCUGUCAAAGACCGGGGCUUAACUUCGGAAAGGCAGUGGAAACUGAACAGCUAGAGUAUGGUAGGGGCAGAGGGAAUUCCUGGUGUAGCGGUGAAAUGCGUAGAUAUCGGGAGGAACACCAGUGGCGAAGGCGACUACCUGGCCUGUUCUUGACGCUGAGGCGCGAAAGCUAGGGGAGCAAACGGG